rnacentral:tRNA from 1 species
GGUCUUGUAGUCGAAGUUUAAGAUGUCAGGCUGCAAUCCUGAAGAUGUAGUAUUAUAUUAACCUUGGCCUUUU